rnacentral:rRNA from 1 species
AGCGAACGCUGGCGGCAGGCCUAACACAUGCAAGUCGAACGAAGUCUUCGGACUUAGUGGCGGACGGGUGAGUAACACGUGGGAACGUACCUUUAGGUUCGGAACAACUCAGGGAAACUUGAGCUAAUACCGGAUAAGCCCUUCGGGGGAAAGAUUUAUCGCCUUUAGAGCGGCCCGCGUUAGAUUAGCUAGUUGGUGAGGUAAAGGCUCACCAAGGCUACGAUCUAUAGCUGGUCUGAGAGGAUGAUCAGCCACACUGGGACUGAGACACGGCCCAGACUCCUACGGGAGGCAGCAGUGGGGAAUCUUGCGCAAUGGGCGAAAGCCUGACGCAGCCAUGCCGCGUGAAUGAUGAAGGUCUUAGGAUUGUAAAAUUCUUUUACCAGGGACGAUAAUGACGGUACCUGGAGAAAAAGCCCCGGCUAACUUCGUGCCAGCAGCCGCCGUAAGAC